GAUGAACGCUGGCGGCGUGCCUAAUACAUGCAAGUCGAGCGAACAGACGAGGAGCUUGCUCCUCUGACGUUAGCGGCGGACGGGUGAGUAACACGUGGAUAACCUACCUAUAAGACUGGGAUAACUUCGGGAAACCGGAGCUAAUACCGGAUAAUAUAUUGAACCGCAUGGUUCAAUAGUGAAAGACGGUUUUGCUGUCACUUAUAGAUGGAUCCGCGCCGCAUUAGCUAGUUGGUAAGGUAACGGCUUACCAAGGCAACGAUGCGUAGCCGACCUGAGAGGGGGGGCGCACCACAGGGGAAUGGAACCCGGGCCAAGACCCCGCGGGGGGGAGGAGGAAGGAAUUCUUCGGAAAGGGCGGAAGGCCUGAGGAACCACCGCGGGGGGAUUGAUAAGGUUCUUCGUACCAAAAACCUUUGUUAUGGGGGAAAAAAAAAUUUGAAAGAAAUUAUGCCGUCUUUGAGGGUACAUAAUAAAAAGCCCCGGCCAAACUCCGUG
rnacentral:rRNA from 1 species